rnacentral:rRNA from 1 species
AACGAACGCUGGCGGCAUGCCUAACACAUGCAAGUCGAACGAAGCCUUCGGGCUUAGUGGCGCACGGGUGCGUAACGCGUGGGAAUCUGCCCUUGGGUUCGGAAUAACAGUUAGAAAUGACUGCUAAUACCGGAUGAUGUCUUCGGACCAAAGAUUUAUCGCCCAAGGAUGAGCCCGCGUAGGAUUAGGUAGUUGGUGGGGUAAUGGCCCACCAAGCCGACGAUCCUUAGCUGGUCUGAGAGGAUGAUCAGCCACACUGGGACUGAGACACGGCCCAGACUCCUACGGGAGGCAGCAGUGGGGGAAUAUUGGACAAUGGGCGAAAGCCUGAUCCAGCAAUGCCGCGUGAGUGAUGAAGGCCUUAGGGUUGUAAAGCUCUUUUACCAGGGAUGAUAAUGACAGUACCUGGAGAAUAAGCUCCGGCUAACUCCGUG